CUGAGUUUUGGGUGUUCUCUUUUGACGCCCGAUCUCCCACCCUUUGUUUAACUACAAUUGUUGCUUUGGCAGGACUGUUUUCUUCUCUUCGGGGGAGGGACUGCCGGAGGUUGGGUUUCCGACCUCUGGAUUGUUUGCCUGCCAGUAGCCAACUUCAAAUUCUUUUUUAAUUAUGUCGUCUGAAUUCUUUAAAUAAAUUUUAUUUA
rnacentral:misc_RNA from 2 species